GACAAACGCUGGCGGCGUACCUAAGACAUGCAAGUCGAACGGGUGCGGCGCCCUUCGGGCGCCGGACGAGUGGCGGACGGGUGAGUAACGCGUAGGAACCUAUCGCACAGUGGGGGAGUACCACGGGAAACCGGGUAGUUAAUACCGCAUGAGGUCAGCGAUGACCAAAAGACAGCAAUGCGCUGUGUGCGGGGCCGUGCGUCCGAUUAGCUAGUUGGUGGGGUAAGGGCCUACCAAGGCGACGANCGGUAGCUGGUCUGAGAGGAUGGUCAGCCACACUGGGACGUGAGACACGGCCCAGACUCCUACGGGAGGGCAGCA
rnacentral:rRNA from 1 species